UGUUUUUGGGCUUUGUUGGUUAAUGCGCCAGACUACUGAUACAGAGUCGUGGGUUCGAAUCCCACCAAAACAA
rnacentral:tRNA from 1 species